AAAUCUCAAAAUUCUUUUGAUGAGCCCCUUCUCAAUUCCCAUUUCAUGUGAUUUUUUGAUCAUUGUGUUCACCAUCAUUUUCUAUGUAGGUUAGUCAAAGAAAGAACCUCAGCCACAAAGGAGGACAGGCAGAGCCGCUGCACCUAGAGGUUCCUGCUGUUGAUGUGUUUAGUUUUUAUUUGAUUUUUCAGCCAGAGGAGGCUUCUAACGUAUUUUUCUGCAGGGAUAUGGCCAAAACUGGCCAAAAUCGACUAAAACUGGCCAGAUUGAGGCGAACUGCUACCGACACCGUACCGGAAC
rnacentral:lncRNA from 1 species